AGAACGCAGCGAAAUGCGAUAAGUAGUGUGAAUUGCAGAAUUCAGUGAAUCAUCGAAUCUUUGAACGCACAUUGCGCCCUUUGGUAUUCCAAAGGGCAUGCCUGUUCGAGCGUCAUUUGUACCCUCAAGCUUUGCUUGGUGUUGGGCGUCUUGUCUCUA
rnacentral:rRNA from 1 species